rnacentral:rRNA from 1 species
ACGUAGGUCACAAGCGUUGUCCGGAAUUACUGGGUGUAAAGGGAGCGCAGGCGGGAAGACAAGUUGGAAGUGAAAUCCAUGGGCUCAACCCAUGAACUGCUUUCAAAACUGUUUUUCUUGAGUAGUGCAGAGGUAGGCGGAAUUCCCGGUGUAGCGGUGGAAUGCGUAGAUAUCGGGAGGAACACCAGUGGCGAAGGCGGCCUACUGGGCACAAACUGACGCUGAGGCUCGAAAGUGUGGGUAGCAAACAG